UACAGAGGUCUCAAGCGUUGUUCGGAUUCAUUGGGCGUAAAGGGUGCGUAGGCGGCGCGGUAAGUCGGGUGUGAAAUCUCGGAGCUUAACUCCGAAACUGCAUUCGAUACUGCCGUGCUUGAGGACUGGAGAGGAGACUGGAAUUUACGGUGUAGCGGUGAAAUGCGUAGAUAUCGUAAGGAAGACCAGUGGCGAAGGCGGGUCUCUGGACAGCUCCUGACGCUGAGGCGCGAAGGCUAGGGGAGCAAACGGG
rnacentral:rRNA from 1 species